AUAUCAGUCAUGCAUAGCAUAUCAAUAAGCGGAGGAAAAGAAACUAACAAGGAUUCCCUUAGUAACGGCGAGUGAAGCGGGAAGAGCUCAAAUUUGAAAUCUUCAAGGUUUUACCUUGACGAAUUGUAGGUUUAAAGAAGUGUUUUCUGUUGAAGUUUUGGUAAAAGUUCUUUGGAAUAGGACAUCAUAGAGGGUGAGAAUCCCGUAUUUGACCAUUACUUUCAGCUUUGUGAUACACUUUCAAAGAGUCGGAUUGUUUGGGAAUGCAGUCCAAAAUGGGUGGUAAAUUUCAUCUAAAGCUAAAUAUUGGCGAGAGACCGAUAGCGAACAAGUACCGUGAGGGAAAGAUGAAAAGAACUUUGAAAAGAGAGUUAAACAGUACGUGAAAUUGUCAAAAGGGAAGCGUUUGACACCAGUGUUGUUUUCUCGAAAAUCAAUUAAAAAGAGUUGGAUUUUGUGUUGUACUGACUUUAUCAGCUUUCUUCACUCUUUUCCAGCUUUUUUUAAUGCACUUUUCGUUUAACAAGUCAACAUCAGUUUCUUUUGUUGUAAAAAGGUCAUUGGAAGGUGGCUUUCUCUUCGGAGAAAGUGUUUAUAGCCUUUGACUCAUGCAAUCGGAGAGACUGAGGUCUGCAGCGUAGAUCCUUCGGGGUUAGAUACAUUUGUGCUAAGUUAUAGCUUUUCAUAGACAACUUGUUGACUAUGUUUAGUCUUGUAGCUUACUCGCUUAUGCUAUUUUACCUACGCUUAGGAUGUUGAACUCUAUCACACACAG
rnacentral:rRNA from 1 species